AUCUGGGCUCCUCGGAACUCUCAUAAGGUUAACCCGGAACGGGACUGCGGUUGAUUCUGGAAAAGGGAGCCAAAUUGGAACCGAGAAAUUGAUCUCUAUACUGCAUUACGUACAAAAAUGUACAUUAUUCCUUUUGGCAUCGGAAUCGGCAAAUUGUGUUACAGUUGGUGUUAUUCAACUUCGGAUCCGUCAACGGGAGAGAAACACCUGCUAUGGCUAAAAUGAACCGGUGCUGAACAGAGUUAACGAACCUGAAACGGUCGCUGGUUCUCGAUAAGACCGAAAUUCUGCACCAGAUGUUGGCCG